CUUGCUUUCUUUGCUGGCGACCGGCGCACGGGUGAGUAACACGUAUCCAACCUGCCCUUUACUCGGGGAUAGCCUUUCGAAAGAAAGAUUAAUACCCGAUAGCAUAAUGAUUCCGCAUGGUUUCAUUAUUAAAGGAUUCCGGUAAAGGAUGGGGAUGCGUUCCAUUAGGUUGUUGGUGAGGUAACGGCCCACCAAGCCUUCGAUGGGUAGGGGUUCUGAGAGGAAGGUCCCCCACAUUGGAACUGAGACACGGUCCAA
rnacentral:rRNA from 1 species